AAGAGGAAGAAGGAGAAGGAGAAGAAAAAGAGACGUACAUGGCUUUCUUUCUCUGCCCUCAAUGAAGUGUUGUGGGUGUCUUUUAUUUGUUGGAGACUUGCAGUGUUGUGGAUGUCUUUAACUGGUUGGUUGGCAGUAAGCAUGUUACUGUGUACUAAGUUAACGUAAUGGGCUGGUGGUUAUUAGUUUUGUUUGCAUGCAUUUUUAAUUCUAUUUUUCAUAAAUUA
rnacentral:misc_RNA from 1 species